GACGAACGCUGGCGGCGUGCUUAACACAUGCAAGUCGAACGGAAAGGCCCUGCUUGCAGGGUACUCGAGUGGCGAACGGGUGAGUAACACGUGGGUGAUCUGCCCUGCACUUCGGGAUAAGCCUGGGAAACUGGGUCUAAUACCGGAUAGGAGCCAUUUUUAGUGUGAUGGUUGGAAAGUUUUUUCGGUGUAGGAUGAGCUCGCGGCCUAUCAGCUUGUUGGUGGGGUAAUGGCCUACCAAGGCGGCGACGGGUAGCCGGCCUGAGAGGGUGGACGGCCACAUUGGGACUGAGGUACGGCCCAGACUCCUACGGGGGGCAGCAGUGGGGAAUAUUGCACAAUGGGCGCAAGCCUGAUGCAGCAACGCCGCGUGGGGGAUGACGGCCUUCGGGUUGUAAACUCCUUUCGCUAGGGACGAAGCUUUUUGUGACGGUACCUAGAUAAGAAGCACCGGCUAACUACGUG
rnacentral:rRNA from 1 species